GCCUAUGAUCUACAGUGCCCAUUCCAACUCAGAGAAUCUUUACAUCUGGAGAUCUAUAGCAGGGCUAUCCCUAGUGACAUGCGUGAAGAAGCUUGGAAAUGGUGCUGGGUAGGAGCUGAGUGUGCAGAAUGUGGAAAGGCAUUCUAAACCAAAGGAAGAACACGAGUAAAGAUGAUGAAGCAGGGAUAAGGCUAAAAUGAAAUUUGUGAUCUGAUCCACAUACAAGCACAGUGUAGUACAGCUGGAAUAUAGAGAAGAGCUUGAAGACUUAUGAGCAACUAUCCCGGUACUCUUGGAGGCUCUGCAACCACAGUUUGAGAAACUCCGCGUUCAAAGUUAAAAACUGUCACCUGAAUAGUUAAUAACAUCAAAGAUUGUGAAAGCAAGUAUAAAUAACACAGAGAUUAAAAUAAUGAGGCAGGAUCAGAAAGAUGACUGAAACCCACAGCAAACAAUCCUCAUGAAAUACAGCUCAGCUCAUCCUGAAGAAUAAGUGGGAGGUCAGCCUCACGGGAAAUUCGAUAUCUCCACAUGCAGCUGUCAUGCCACAUGGAAACAGUCAUGCAUAGGGUCCUGUCACCUGGUAGACUGACCCCAGGUCCACUGACCCCUGACAAUCAUCAACCGCUUCUGAGGGCUCCAUGAUUGAGAUUUGUCCCCAGGAACUCAGGGGAAACUAUAUAUUGAUUAAAAUGAACUAUCAAAAU
rnacentral:lncRNA from 10 species